UUUCAAAAAGCUUUCCAUAUCAAAAUCAUUAUGCAGGUUGUUUCUUAAACCCAUUGAACAUAGUGAUCGGACGUCAUCUCCCAAUUUUGAAUUCCCUGUAUUCGAAGCGGACGAAGAUGAUGUUGAAGGGAUUCCUGACGAGAUUUCCCGACUUCUUGAGCAAGAAAAGAAGAUCACUCAGCUGCAUCUCGAGAAUCAGCAGAACAGCCAACUGGGGCAUNNN
rnacentral:lncRNA from 1 species